AUACGAAGGGUGCAAGCGUUAAUCGGAAUUACUGGGCGUAAAGCGCGCGUAGGUGGUUUUGUAAGUUGGAGGUGAAAGCCCCGGGCUCAACCUGGGAAUUGCCUCCAAAACUGCAUGACUAGAGUACGGUAGAGGGUAGUGGAAUUUCCUGUGUAGCGGUGAAAUGCGUAGAUAUAGGAAGGAACACCAGUGGCGAAGGCGACUACCUGGACUGAUACUGACACUGAGGUGCGAAAGCGGGGGGAGCAAACAGGAUUAGAUACCCUGUUAGUCCACGCCGUAAACGAUGUCAACUAGCCGUUGGGAUCCUUGAGAUCUUAGUGGCGCAGCUAACGCAUUAAGUUGACCGCCUGGGGAGUACGGCCGCAAGGUUAAAACUCAAAUGAAUUGACGGGG
rnacentral:rRNA from 1 species